rnacentral:rRNA from 1 species
ACUCAAAGGAAUUGACGGGGGCCCGCACAAGUGGUGGAGCAUGUGGUUUAAUUCGACGCUACGCGAAGAACCUUACCCGGGUUUGAAUUGCAAUGGUUGUAGUCAGUAGAGAUAUUGGCGAGUCCGCAAGGACACUGUUGUGAAGGUGCUGCAUGGCUGUCGUCAGCUCGUGCCGUGAGGUGUUGGGUUAAGUCCCGCAACGAGCGCAACCCUUGUCUUUAGUUGCCAGCAAGUAAUGUUGGGCACUCUGGAGAGACUGCCGUCAUAAGACGGAGGAAGGUGGGGAUGACGUCAAGUCAGCAUGGCCCUUACGUCCGGGGCUACACACGUGCUACAAUGGUCGGUACAACGGGCAGCGAGACCGCGAGGUGGAGCGAAUCCCUUUAAAGCCGGCCUCAGUUCGGAUUGUAGGCUGCAACUCGCCUACAUGAAGUUGGAAUCACUAGUAACCGCAGAUCAGCUACGCUGUGGUGAAUGCGUUCCCGGGCCUUGUACACACCGCCCGU